CGGCACGGGUGAGUAACACGUAUGGAACCUGCCCGCAGCAGGGGGAUAAGCGGAAGAAAUUCCGUCUAAUACCGCGUAACACCGCAGAGGGGCAUCCCUCGGCGGUUAAAGAUUCAUCGGCUGCGGAUGGCCAUGCGGCGCAUUAGCUAGUCGGCGGGGUAACGGCCCACCGAGGCGACGAUGCGUAGGGGUUCUGAGAGGAAUGUCCCCCACACUGGUACUGAGACACGGACCAGACUCCUACGGAAGGCAGCAG
rnacentral:rRNA from 1 species